rnacentral:rRNA from 1 species
AUACGGAGGAUGCGAGCGUUAUCCGGAUUUAUUGGGUUUAAAGGGUGCGUAGGCUGUGCGUUAAGUCAGGGGUGAAAUGCCGUCGCUCAACGACGGAGCUGCCCUUGAUACUGGCGUGCUGGAGUACGGAUGCCGUUGGAGGAAUGAGUGGUGUAGCGGUGAAAUGCUUAGAUAUCACUCAGAACACCGAUUGCGAAGGCAUCUGACGAAUCCGUCACUGACGCUGAGGCACGAAAGCGUGGGGAUAGAACAGGAUUAGAUACCCUGGUAUUCCACACCGUAAACGAUGAUGACUAACCGUCGGCGAUAGACAGCCGGUGGCCAAGCGAAAGCGAUAAGUCAUCCACCUGGGGAGUACGUCGGCAACGAUGAAACUCAAAUGAAUUGACGGGG